rnacentral:rRNA from 1 species
UACGAACUGCGCGAACGUUAUUCGGAAUCACUGGGCUUACAGGGUGCGUAGGCGGCUGAUCAGGUCCGAUGUGAAAUCCCCCAGCUCAACUGGGGAAUGGCAUUGGAAACCGAACGGCUGGAGUGAGCUAGAGGUGCACGGAACUUCCGGUGGAGCGGUGAAAUGUGUUGAGAUCGGAAGGAACACCAGAGGCGAAGGCGGUGCACUGGGGCUUGUCUGACGCUGAGGCACGAAAGCCAGGGGAGCGAACGGG